GUUCCCCUCUUGCGCUGAGCGGCAUGAACAGAUUCAGUGAGGAGUGAAAAUGAGGAACUGAAGAUGACUCUAAAUGAAGUGCAACACAUGAAUGUAUUCCCCCUGAGAAAUGCAAUAAACUAUUUUGCUAUCAAGUGCAUUAAGAUUUCAUCAUACAGUGAAAUCAUUCUUCUGAUUCUUUCCAGCUUCAGCAAUCACUGAGCUUGGAGAACCUUAGGAAAACCCCCAGUCAUCAGUUCCAGACCUUGGAUCAGACCCAUGAGAAUGCAGUGCCAUGGAAAAUGAAUCACCUCCGUUUCUCC